GAUGAACGCUGGCGGCGUGCCUAAUACAUGCAAGUCGAGCGAACGGACGCGAAGCUUGCUUCUCUGAUUUUAGCGGCGGACGGGUGAGUAACACGUGGAUAACCUACCUAUCAGACUGGGAUAACUUCGGGAAACCGGAGCUAAUACCGGAUAAUAUUUUGAACCGCAUGGUUCAAAAGUGAAAGACGGUCUUGCUGUCACUUAUAGAUGGAUCCGCGCUGCAUUAGCUAGUUGGUAAGGUAACGGCUUACCAAGGCAACGAUGCAUAGCCGACCUGAGAGGGUGAUCGGCCACACUGGAACUGAGACACGGUCCAGACUCCUACGGGAGGCAGCAGUAGGGAAUCUUCCGCAAUGGGCGAAAGCCUGACGGAGCAACGCCGCGUGAGUGAUGAAGGUAUUCGGAUCGUAAAACUCUGUUAUUAGGGAAGAACAAAUGUGUAAGUAACUGUGCACGUCUUGACGGUAUCUAAUCAGAAAGCCACGGCUAACUACGUG
rnacentral:rRNA from 1 species